CCUGCGGAAGGAUCAUUACCGAGUGCGGGUCCUUUGGGCCCAACCUCCCAUCCGUGUCUAUUGUACCCUGUUGCUUCGGCGGGCCCGCCGCUUGUCGGCCGCCGGGGGGGCGCCUCUGCCCCCCGGGCCCGUGCCCGCCGGAGACCCCAACACGAACACUGUCUGAAAGCGUGCAGUCUGAGUUGAUUGAAUGCAAUCAGUUAAAACUUUCAACAAUGGAUCUCUUGGUUCCGGCAUCGAUGAAGAACGCAGCGAAAUGCGAUAACUAAUGUGAAUUGCAGAAUUCAGUGAAUCAUCGAGUCUUUGAACGCACAUUGCGCCCCCUGGUAUUCCGGGGGGCAUGCCUGUCCGAGCGUCAUUGCUGCCCUCAAGCCCGGCUUGUGUGUUGGGUCGCCGUCCCCCUCUCCGGGGGGACGGGCCCGAAAGGCAGCGGCGGCACCGCGUCCGAUCCUCGAGCGUAUGGGGCUUUGUCACAUGCUCUGUAGGAUUGGCCGGCGCCUGCCGACGUUUUCCAACCAUUCUUUCCAGGUUGACCUCGGAUCAGGUAGGGAUACCCGCUGAACUUAAGCAUAUCAAUAAGCGGAGGAA
rnacentral:rRNA from 1 species